rnacentral:rRNA from 1 species
AGGAUAAACGCUGGCGGCGUGCAUGAGACAUGCAAGUCGAACGGACGAUCAAGGCUUGCUUUGAUCGUUAGUGGCGGACGGCUGAGUAACGCGUAGGUGACCUGCCCCGAAGUGGGGAAUAACUGCCCGAAAGGGUGACUAAUACCGCAUGUGGUGGUGUGUUCAUUCACACCAGUAAAGCCGCAAGGCGCUUCGGGAGGGGCCUGCGUCCGAUUAGCUCGUUGGUGGGGUAACGGCUCACCAAGGCGACGAUCGGUAGGUGGUCUGAGAGGACGAUCACCCAGACUGGGACUGAGACACGGCCCAGACUCCUACGGGAGGCAGCAGUCGGGAAUUUUGCGCAAUGGACGAAAGUCUGACGCAGCAACGCCGCGUGAGGGAUGAAGGCCUUCGGUUGUAACUCUUUUAUCAGGGAAGAUAAUGACGGUACCUGAUGAAUAAGUCACGGCUAACUACGUGCCAGCAGCCGC